rnacentral:rRNA from 2 species
UAUACAUGCAAGUCGAACGAGUUCUCGUUGAUGAUCGGUGCUUGCACCGAGAUUCAACAUGGAACGAGUGGCGGACGGGUGAGUAACACGUGGGUAACCUGCCCUUAAGUGGGGGAUAACAUUUGGAAACAGAUGCUAAUACCGCAUAGAUCCAAGAACCGCAUGGUUCUUGGCUGAAAGAUGGCGUAAGCUAUCGCUUUUGGAUGGACCCGCGGCGUAUUAGCUAGUUGGUGAGGUAAUGGCUCACCAAGGCGAUGAUACGUAGCCGAACUGAGAGGUUGAUCGGCCACAUUGGGACUGAGACACGGCCCAAACUCCUACGGGAGGCAGCAGUAGGGAAUCUUCCACAAUGGACGCAAGUCUGAUGGAGCAACGCCGCGUGAGUGAAGAAGGCUUUCGGGUCGUAAAACUCUGUUGUUGGAGAAGAAUGGUCGGCAGAGUAACUGUUGUCGGCGUGACGGUAUCCAACCAGAAAGCCACGGCUAACUACGUGCCAGCAGCCGCGGUAAUACGUAGGUGGCAAGCGUUAUCCGGAUUUAUUGGGCGUAAAGCGAGCGCAGGCGGUUUUUUAAGUCUGAUGUGAAAGCCCUCGGCUUAACCGAGGAAGCGCAUCGGAAACUGGGAAACUUGAGUGCAGAAGAGGACAGUGGAACUCCAUGUGUAGCGGUGAAAUGCGUAGAUAUAUGGAAGAACACCAGUGGCGAAGGCGGCUGUCUGGUCUGUAACUGACGCUGAGGCUCGAAAGCAUGGGUAGCGAACAGGAUUAGAUACCCUGGUAGUCCAUGCCGUAAACGAUGAAUGCUAGGUGUUGGAGGGUUUCCGCCCUUCAGUGCCGCAGCUAACGCAUUAAGCAUUCCGCCUGGGGAGUACGACCGCAAGGUUGAAACUCAAAGGAAUUGACGGGGGCCCGCACAAGCGGUGGAGCAUGUGGUUUAAUUCGAAGCAACGCGAAGAACCUUACCAGGUCUUGA